AAAGAAAGCGUAAUAGCUCACUGGUCGAGUCGGCCUGCGCGGAAGAUGUAACGGGGCUAAACCAUGCACCGAAGCUGCGGCAGCGACGCUUAUGCGUUGUUGGGUAGUGUAGCGUUCUGUAAGCCUGUGAAGGUGUGCUGUGAGGCAUGCUGGAGGUAUCAGAAGUGCGAAUGCUGACAUAAGUAACGAUAAAGCGGGUGAAAAGCCCGCUCGCCGGA
rnacentral:rRNA from 1 species